AUACUCUGGUUUUUCUUUCAAUCAUAUAAAUAUUUUGCCUUUUGCUAAAGAUUUCCAUGGGGAACAUCCUUAAUUGAAGAAUUAACUUCAUUGACCAGAACUUAGUAGAAGAUCUU